ACGCUCGACACCUACGGGAGGCAGCAGUGGGGGAUAUUGCACAAUGGGGGAAACCCUGAUGCAGCAACGCCGCGUGAAGGAAGAAGGUCUUCGGAUUGUAAACUUCUGUCCUCAGGGAAGAUAAUGACGGUACCUGAGGAGGAAGCUCCGGCUAACUACGUGCCAACAGCCGCGGUAAUCUGAGCGGGCUGGCAAGGC
rnacentral:rRNA from 1 species